GAUCGACUCGAUCCGGCUCCCCUCGCCGUCCUGGACACGGCGGAGUGCAGAGCCGCCCGUAAGGUACGGAGGCCGCGAGCCAGGGGCCGGGAACCGGCUGCUGGGUGGCUGGGAGAGCACGGCCAGGGGAAGCCGGCCAGCAGGACGGAGCAAGGGCGGUCACCGGAGGACAGGGGAGCUCGGGGGUCCAGCCAGACUGCGCCCUUUCCCAUCACGGCCUGCCGCUGGCCUGCUACGCAUGCGCAGCUUCAGCGCUCGGCUUUCCCCGGCCCAUCCGCCGCCGCGCGCACGCGCAGCCCGCCCCUGCGGCAGAGUGGCGCCCGCGCGUGACUGCCCCCUGCUGGCUGCGGGGGGGACGGCGCCCCCGCCUCGUGCGUGGGGCGGGGAUGGAGCACGCGCCCUGGAGCCCCGGAGCCGCCCGGAGCCAGAUGCUCUGAUCUUUGACCCCUGCCGUUCAGCUCUAGGGCCCGUGCAGGCCACACCAUGAACACCUCCCCAGGCACGGUGGGCAGUGACCCGGUCAUCCUGGCCACUGCAGGCUACGACCACACCGUGCGCUUCUGGCAGGCCCACAGCGGCAUCUGCACCCGGACUGUGCAGCACCAGGACUCCCAAGUGAAUGCCUUGGAGAUCACACCAGACCGCAGCAUGAUUGCUGCUGCAGGUUACCAGCAUAUCCGCAUGUAUGAUCUCAACUCCAAUAACCCUAACCCCAUCAUCAGUUACGACGGCGUCAACAAGAACAUCGCGUCUGUGGGCUUCCACGAAGACGGCCGCUGGAUGUACACGGGCGGCGAGGACUGCACAGCCAGGAUCUGGGACCUCAGGUGCAGUGGGGAGGGGCCUGCUGCCUGGGGCUGGGGUGAGCUGCUCUGGGAGACCGUUUUACGUUGGGUUCUCUUCAAGCAGAGGCUGAGACAGGGAGCUUCCUGUGGGCAACUUACUGAGAAGUGAGGACAGGAGGAGAGUGAAUUGCAUCAAAGCGCGAGUCCUGCCUUGAGCCCAGAGCCAGCGUGUUAUUCCCCUUCCACCAGCCACUGGCUUA
rnacentral:sRNA from 1 species